rnacentral:rRNA from 1 species
AUUGAACGCUAGCGGGAUGCUUUACACAUGCAAGUCGAACGGCAGCGCGGACUUCGGUCUGGCGGCGAGUGGCGAACGGGUGAGUAAUGUAUCGGAACGUGCCCAGUAGCGGGGGAUAACUACGCGAAAGCGUAGCUAAUACCGCAUACGCCCUACGGGGGAAAGCAGGGGAUCGUAAGACCUUGCACUAUUGGAGCGGCCGAUAUCGGAUUAGCUAGUUGGUGAGGUAACGGCUCACCAAGGCGACGAUCCGUAGCUGGUUUGAGAGGACGACCAGCCACACUGGGACUGAGACACGGCCCAGACUCCUACGGGAGGCAGCAGUGGGGAAUUUUGGACAAUGGGGGCAACCCUGAUCCAGCCAUCCCGCGUGUGCGAUGAAGGCCUUCGGGUUGUAAAGCACUUUUGGCGGGAAAGAAACGUCGCGGGCUAAUACCCCGUGGAACUGACGGUACCUGCAGAAUAAGCACCGGCUAACUACGUG